rnacentral:rRNA from 1 species
UGGGGAAUAUUGCACAAUGGGCGAAAGCCUGAUGCAGCAACGCCGCGUGAGGGACGACGGCCUUCGGGUUGUAAACCUCUUUUAGCAAGGAAGAAGCGAAAGUGACGGUACUUGCAGAAAAAGCGCCGGCUAACUACGUGCCAGCAGCCGCGGUAAUACGUAGGGCGCAAGCGUUAUCCGGAAUUAUUGGGCGUAAAGAGCUCGUAGGCGGUUUGUCGCGUCUGCUGUGAAAACCCGAGGCUCAACCUCGGGCCUGCAGUGGGUACGGGCAGACUAGAGUGCGGUAGGGGAGAUUGGAACUCCUGGUGUAGCGGUGGAAUGCGCAGAUAUCAGGAAGAACACCGAUGGCGAAGGCAGAUCUCUGGGCCGUAACUGACGCUGAGGAGCGAAAGGGUGGGGAGCAAACAGGCUUAGAUACCCUGGUAGUCCACCCGUAACGUUGGAACUAGUUGUGGGUCCAUUCCACGGAUUCCGUGACGCAGCUAACGCAUUAAGUUCCCCGCCUGGGGAGUACGGCCGCAAGGCUAAAACUCAAAUGAAUUGACGGGGUCAUAGCUGUUCCU